rnacentral:rRNA from 1 species
UACGUAGGGGGCAAGCGUUGUCCGGAUUUAUUGGGCGUAAAGAGCUCGUAGGUGGUUUGGUAAGUCGGGUGUGAAAUCUCCAGGCUCAACCUGGAGGGGUCAUUCGAUACUGCCAUGACUAGAGGUCGGUAGGGGAGUGUGGAAUUCCUGGUGGAGCGGUGAAAUGCGCAGAUAUCAGGAGGAACACCCGUAGCGAAGGCGGCACUCUGGGCCGAUACUGACACUGAGGAGCGAAAGCGUGGGGAGCGAACAGG